UCCAUCUCAUCACACACAUUAGUGUAUAUAUAUAAAUACUCUUCAAUUACGACAUUCAAAAUCGUCCCGCUAAACAAAAGCGAAAUGAAAAAGCGCCAAACUCCAUAGAAGCACCAGACUCGUCCAUCAGAGAUCGCGAAUCGGAGAUCCAAGCACUCAUUGUCAAAUUAGUUCCAAAAUGCACAAUUUCAAAUCCCUAAAUUUUCUCACCUAUGCGGGUUCACCUCCGUCGCAAUUCGAAUUCAAUUUCUCACUCGCUCUUCUUCUUGUUCUAGAUCGUGAAGAAAAAGCUUGAAUUCUGCAUUCACAUCCGUUUCCGAAGAUGCAUGUGAAUCUUUGAGAGUACUCGGUGGAUUCAUCUUCGAUUUCUGAGAUCUCUGGCUCUAAUCACAAUGGAGAAAUCGACAAAAGUCUUGAACUCAGUGGAUACAGAUCAUUAAUCUAAGAAGCUUCUGGAUGCACUGAUUAAUCUAACAAGCACAAGAGGUACAAGAGAUGGAAGAUAAUAUUGAACGAAUAUUUGGGCUACUUCAAGGUAGCCUGACUCGAGUCCUCCGGCACAAGAGGGUAAGUUGUUUUCAAUUGAUUGAGCUUUCUUGAUUUAAUACAGCUUUUUCAAUGUACACAUAAUAUUUACAUAAAAAAAAUAAAAACUAAUCCUAAAAGAAAGAAACAAAUAACAACAGAAAUUUAACUCAAACUCAAAGUCUAAUUGUUUUUCCAUUUAAAAAAGUAAAGGCUCCAGCUGUCCGGAGGAAUUUUUUCACACAUAACAUCUCCCUUCCCCUUUAAAUACAUCCCUUGUCCUCUAGGAAAAAAAAACUCUGGAUAUCUUUGUUAGGCUUAUUCAGCAUCUUCCCAUGUGGCAUCUGUUGGAGACAAUCCGUGCCGAUAAAUUUGAAUUUCAACCUUCCUUCCUUUGGUCUUCAAUCCAGCAUUGCUUGGGGUCAUGGGACUAACCUUCCCUGCUCUAAUCUAGGGCAACUGUGAUUGAGAAAAAACAUUCUUCCUAAGUUUCUCCUUGAGCAAUGAAACGUGAGAAACUACAUGAGUCUGAGAACUAGCAGGUAACUCCAAUUAUAAGCUAUAGCUCUAAUAAUUUUCAUAUUUUCAUAGGGUCCAUAAUUCCUUGGUGCAAGCUUUCGAUUGGCUUGUAACAACACUAAGUUGCCUUUAUGGCUACAAUCACAAAUACAUCCAAUCCACAGCUUAUUAUUCCUUUUCUUGGUGGUGCUUAUUAUACACCCUUUCCAUAUGAAUAUGAGAAUCUUUGAGACUGGUCUUAAGGGUUGUGAGGAGUUGAUCCUAGUUCAAUAGUUCUUGUUCCACUGCCUUUAUGCAUACCGUGCCAGUGACAUAAGUGAGAAAAUUGGGAGGUGGUUGGCCAUAUACCACUUCGAAGGAUGUUAUGGUAGUGCUCUACAUAAGUCAGCCAUUUUGCCCAGUCCUCGGGUUGAUAACUAGUGAAAUAUUUCAAUUACAUUUUUUAUGUCUUAUUAACAACCUCUUUUCAUCCAUUGGUUUGUAGAUGGUUAGUAGAGCUGAAGUUAAAAUCAGUCCUGUUCAAAUAAAACAGUUUAGUCCAACACAAGCUUGUAAAGGUAUCAUUGGCUUGGGAAGCGUAGCUCUGAUAUUUGGAAUUUGGUUCCAGGUUAUUCAAUGUGGACUAUUUGGACUGAACAAAAUUAGCGUUCUUUUGAGGAUAAGGGAAAAUUGUGGUUUAGUUAUUAGAUUUAUGCCAACGGACCCUCUUUAAUUGGUCUCGGUGUUGGGGUCUCUCGGAUUGUUUUACCCUUAUGGAUUUCCUUUCGUCUAUUAGAAUAGCUUAGUGGCUGCUUGUUUACUACCGUGAACUCUUUGUUUUUUCAUGCUAUUCCUUUAUUAAUAAUAUAUUCUUCUUACUUAUCAAAAAAAAAAAUGAUCAAAGAAAUUUGACCGUCUUAUCAAAAUAAAAAAAUUAAAAAAAGGGAAGAAAUUUGACCCUGUAGCCAUGUAAGGAUCGCUAAUGCAGAUAAAUGAGCAUACUUUGAUAGUCUAUCGUCUAUCCACUACUACCAAGAUAGUGGACUUACCUUUGGAUAUGGGUAGACCAUCAAUAAAAUCCAUGGAGAUAUCUUCCCAUACCUAAGUAGGAGUUGUUAAUGGUUGAAAAGACCUACUGGGUUGAGUUGCUCCACCUUAUGCUAUUGAUAAAUUGCUUACUGCCGUAUGUAGUCUUUGACAUGUUCUCUUAUGUAUUUCCUAUAAAAUUUGGACCUAACAUGGUGUAGUGUUUUUGAUAGCCUUUGUAAGUGCUUACAUGAAACUGCCUGAUGAUGUCUUGGAUUAGAGAUGAUUCGUGUUUAAGAUUGAUCUUUUCCUUAAAGAAUAAAACUCCAUUUUUUAUACUCACAAAGGCCCACGGCUUCACCUUCUUGAGUGAGGUGAACUAGCUUCUUUAGAUUGGGGUUGGAAGAAUUUUCUUCUUUAAUGGUGUCCAACCAGCUAGGGGUUGGAUGAGAUAAGGUUGCUAGCUCCGCAAUGUCUCCCUCCUGUCUUUGUGACAAGUCAUUCAUUCACACCCUUAUUCUCACUCUCUUUUUUAUAAUUAUUAGUAAAAUCAAACCUCACUAGCUACAUCCAUGUUUGCUGUGCACGGUUGGCAAUCCUUUGCGUCUAUAGAUAUUUGAGGUUCUUUUGAUCCAUUCAGAUUAUAAAUUAUCGUCCCAAUAAGUAGGGAGGCCAUUUUUGUACAUCUAACACUAAGGUAAGGAGUUCCAUCUCAUAUGUUGACAUCAAGGGAUGUUUUUCACUAAGAGCAUGACCAAAAAGGCUAUGGGUUGCUCUUGCAUUAAGACAGACCCUAUCGCAGACCUAGAUGCGUCACAUUUUACAGUGAACUUUUUGUUGAAAUUAGGUAAGGCAAGAACAGGUGUUGUAGUCAUGGCCUCUAUGAGUUGUUGGAAAGCUUGAUCAGCCGCAAGACUUCAUGUAAAUGAAUUUUUUAUUAUAGAAUUUUGUUUAAUGGAGCUGUGAUCUUGCUAUAAUUUUGGAUAAACUUCUGAUGGUAGCCCUUCACCCCAAGGAACCCUUACACGGUGGUGGUAGUUUUAGGUAUUGGCCAUUCUAACAUGGCCGAGACAUUUUGAGGGCUGACAGCUACUCCUCUUGAAAUGAUAUGUCCCUAGUAUUUCACUUCAGUCCACACAAAUUGACAUUUCUUCUUAACUAACAGUUGAUGUGACUAAAGAAAGGUGAAAGUUUUUCUUUUAAAUGAGCUAAAAUGGUCAUUCCUUGAUUUACUAAAAGCUAUUGUGUUGUCAAAGAAAAUUAGGAUGAAUCUGUUUAAGCGUGCUUAAAAUACUUCAUCCGUGAGGGCUUGGAAAGUGGAGGGUACAUCAAUGAGGCCAAAGGCGUCACUAGGAACUUGAAAUGCCUAUGCUAAAUUUUAAAAGCUGUUUUUGGAACAUUGUCUAGACAAAAACACGACCUGGAUGGUACUCACUUCAUAGACCAGAGCUUUGAAGAAUGUUGUGUCCAAUGCAAUUCAUCAACUUAUUAAUGAUUGGAAUGAGAAAUUUGUCUUUGAUGGUUAGCUUGUUCAAUGAUCUGUAAUCCACACACAUACACCAUGAGCCGUCAUGUUUUUCAAUGAGGAUUACUGGUGACAAGUUGGGGCUAUUACUGAGUUUGAUUAUGCCAGAAGUCAGCAUCUCCUUUACUAGAUGCCUGAUCUCGGUCUUCUGCCACUAUGGGUACCAGUACGGCUGCACACUUACUGGUCCACUACCAGGCUGCAUGGAAAUUUUAUGAUCAUGACUUUUGGGGAGGGGUUAGGGCACUUGGAGCUUGAGGCAACCUGGAACUUUUCCAAUAACAGAUGUAAUCCUCAGCAAACUGGAGGGGGAAGAAUUUUGAGGACUGCCCUCUAUUUGAAGCAAAACCCCAUGCCUCUAAUUUUCUGUAACCUAGCAGAGGUGCAGUUCCUUCACAAUUCUGUCUACUACUUGAGAUUAUCCUUUUAGUACAAUCUCUCUUCCAUUGAUGUUGAACUUCAUCCACAGUCUUGAAAAGUCUCACAAAAUCUCACCUAUAGAUUGUAGCCACUGUAGUCUCAAGACUAUGUUUUAGCCUUCUAAGGGAAGAAUAAAGAAAUCUACAUGGGUAGUAAAUCCAUAUAAUUUUAAUGGCACACAUUAAGAAAUCUGCAUGGGUAAUAAAACCAUGAAAUUUUAACAGCACACACUUCCACUGACCUUCACUUUUCAAUUCCUCCUUGGAAGCUACCAGUACCUUAAGCCUUCCUUUUGUGUUUGGUGUCAAUUUGGUUUUAUUGGCCAAAUUCUCACUCACAAAGUUCUGAGUGCUGCUAGAAUCAACCAAACACCAAGGGUGUCAUGUGCUUGUGUUGUCCUUGAAACUGCAUGAUGUUUGGUGCAAGAGCUCCACUUAUUGUGUGAAGAGAAAUCCCAGGCACCACCUCUUCACUUCCCAUCUCAAUUUCCAUAUCCACCUCUUGAUUGUCUUCCUUGGAACAUGCUUCAAUCAAGAACAACCUUUUGCCUAGGUGGCUUGGGUUAUACUUUCAUUGCAGUUGAAACAUAGCCCUUUCUCCCUUAUUUUCUGCAACUUGAUGAAAGUCAUUCGCCUUAUGGGCAGGGUUGGUCAUGCGGACGGACCUCCUUUUUCUUGAGUGGCAUUAGUUGUCACAAUGGUUUGGAAAUUCUAUCAUUGAGACAUGUUUGUAGCCUCAUGUAACCUGGCCAACCCAAUGACUUGGGUUAACGUGGUAGGCCUUCCUGCGAGAAUGUCUACUUCAAUGGUGUUCUUCAGUCCAUUGGUAAAACAGCUCACCUGCUGUCCUUGUGGGGAGAUGGACAAAUUUAGCCAACAGUUUUUAGAACUGUGUUUGAUAGUCCUUGAUUGUGCCACUAUGCUUCAAUUUGGUUAACCAUCCAAAAUAAUCUACAUAUUGUGUUGGAUUGUAACUGAGAGGUCCAUCUUUAAAUCCACCCUAAGAAAUCGUACCCAUAUCUUGUUUAAUCAUUUGAAACUGAAGUUGAGCACCCCCUUCUAAAUGAAAGGAUACUAGAGCAACUUGGUCUUCAAUGGCGUGGAGCUGUAAGAACUGCUUUGCUCAACAAAGCAGACUUGUGGGGUCUUCCUCGCCAUUGAAGCAAAGGAAGUAGAUUUUAGCCAUUUUGGGGACAUAAGAAUGUUGUGUCACCUGUCUUGUUGCUUUGUCUGAUUCUUGCUUAGUGUUAAUCUUAGGAAAAAGCUUUGAUAUGCGCUCGAGAAUCUGUUGUUGACCUGUAAACAAAUAGCUCACAGUGUGAUUAAGUGCUCCACCUUUGGUCCAUACCCAAGCAGCUCUUAUGCAUUGUACAAUGGAUUGUUGUUCCCUCUUUUGACAGAUGGUAGAUAAUAUUGAACAAAUAUCUGCGCUACUCUACUUUAAGGGAGCUUGAUUUUAUUAAUGCUUGAUAUUAUGCAGCUUUUCCAAUGUUCACAUAAUGUUUACAUAUUGAAAAAUCUGAAACAAAAUCAACUACUAAUCUUAAAAGAAAGGAACAGAUAACAAUAGAAAUUUAACAUAACUCAAAAGUCUAAUUGUUCUGCAUUAAAUCAGUAAAGGCUCCAACUGAAACACAUAACAUUUAUCCCUCUGCAUAGUGUUCUGGAAACUGCACUCUAAAGUUUCUUUGCGUUCCUUUUAUGACAUGUCUGUCAUAUUGAACUGAAACAGCUUUUUUAAGUCGCUACUCUAACUAGAUUGUAGGUAACCAUAAAUAUGCUUAAUGUAUAUCAAUCCUGGUUUGUUGGGCCACAAUAGGUUCAUGUAGUAUGUAGACUGGAUCGGGCCUAAGUCAAUAGACCUAGCCGAAGUUGAAGUGACUUCAUUAGUUACUGACAUCCAGCAGGGAUAGUGGAAUGCUUCCAUCUUAACAUGUGUCCGACCAGUCUAAUCUGAAUAUCUGAUGCUUACAUGUAACAAUGAUAACAUCCACUUUGCCAAAGUGGCCUUUUAACACAUGAUUUCUUAAGGAAAUGUGAAGAUGUAUUCAGUCCGGGGAUAACUCGGAGAGGUCUGCUGGCAAAGGCAUGUCCUCCACAUUCCAUUUGUCCUUCACUGAUUUGAUGAUCGCAGUCUAGUCAAUAGUCUAUGAUGAGUGGUGUUGUUUGUUGUCCAGGAACAGCUUUGUUUUCUGAAGAGGACUAUUUAUGACAUAAACCGUCCACAGAGAAUUACAAACAUAAAGCUGUUUUAAACACUGACUUAUGCCCACACACAGUUAAAUAUGUUUGCAUUUGAAGUUAUACCACGAGGAUAACUAUAUACUAUUACUAAUAAGUUAGAAAAUUAAUGUUUGUGAUAAUUCACCAAAAUUCUUGAGCACCCAGGAUUAUCUCUCUACUAAUUUGAUUGUCUAUUUUGUCAUUUAAAAUGUCAUUUAGUAGUUGAAGUGUGACUUGUCCAAUUUGUCUGUGACAGUCUCUAUAAAAAUGAUCAGCUGAUUGACCCUGGUUAUAGGUGCAGAUGCUUCAAUGUAAUGAGAGAGAGAGAGAGAGAGAGGUUCAACCAAGAUGAUGCCUUCAAAAAUAUAUGAUCGAAAUGAUAUCUUCAAUAUGAGAAGUAUAUGAUCCAAGCAGACACAUCAUCCAUACAUGAUAAAUGUUACUGUAAAGAAAUCAUAGUGGUAGACUGGUAGCUAGGGACAUGAUAUGGAGGGUUCAAGUAAAACCAGUCAAACAGAAGCAGUCAAAAAAGGCUUUCGAAAGUAAAGAAUAAACUAGAGAAAGGAUUCCUUAUCCUAGUUUAUGGUAGGGAAAAAUGUGCUAAGAAAAGCUAAUGGUGGUCUUUCAGAUGCAUCGUCCCAGUCCUUAAAAAACUCAGUAGCUGCCACAUGGUUUAUCCCUGUAGUUAAUUACCUUGUUUUUAAUGAUGUAAAAGGGCACCAAGCAUGACCUUUGUAGGUUCCUUUAUGGAAGUAGUUAAAACUUACUUGAUGGGGAUGAGAAAGAAUCUGAAUGGAUAAACAGUUAUACACACCAGGAGAAAUUUUAUAGGCUCUCUUUCUCGGAAAGUGAUUUUUUGAAGGGACAGAUAAGAAUCUAAUUUGACAGUUAAAAACUUGAUGGGUCAAUAAAAGAAGCUAUGAAACACACUAGUAGGAAUCAGAGAGAGGGUGGGUGGUGGGGUAGCUGCAGUUAAAAGCUAAUGAUUUAGUGUAAUCCACAAUAAUAUUUAAGUUAAUAAAUAAGAGAGUAAAACAAGAUCUAGCUGUACUUAAAGCCUUAAAGGUAAGGAUUUGGUGUAAUCCACCAAAUUUGAACUGUUGAAUGAGAUUCUAAAACCUGUGUAUUGUGUAUUUGAGAGAGAUGAGUAGAGGCCAAUGGGCUGUAACCCAAAUGGCACUUCCAACACCCCUAGAAAUGGGAUGGUGGGUAUGAUGUUGCAGGUUCUAAUCCUUCAUGGUGCGUGAGUUAGAUAACUAGAAUAAUGGUUUUGUAUAAUCCAGGAAAGUAAAGCUAUUAUGUGGGCUUCUAAUACAAUCUUUGGUACAUGAAAGAUGGUAAUGAUAAAUAAAAUGUCUUCCCAAUGAAAAGUAAAUGGAAUAAACCAUUUCCUAGUGCCUAAUAAAAAUGAAUUUGCUCAACUAUGUUUCUGUAACAUUUGAAGGCACAAAUUCAUGAGUGGAAAUGAAAAUAGGUAAAAUUUGGAAGCAUGGCUUUUGAAAUUUAUGCGUCAAUUAUAGAAUCUACAACAUAGCUUUUCUAAGUCUGAAAUAGGCAGAUUAGCAGUGAACACAUCCAUGAUCUGAAGUUCUAAACAUCCUAAAUUGGUUUUUAGAGUAAUUUGCAGACCUUUACAGAAACAUGUAACGUCAAAGAAAAAUUUUAUUCAUGUAUUUACAUAUUCUCUUGGGAAAAAUAUAGAAUACUUUGAGAGUACCAUCUGUGUGUGUGUGUGUAUUUAUUACAAUAAACAAAUCCUUUGGAAGCACUUAGCUGGGUAUUUCGAGAUAUGUUUAGGGCAUGCUUAGUCACAGACACAUUGAUUAUUAUGAUGCUUAUAUACCAUCUUGCCUUGACAUUUAACUCAUUAAAGCAUCAGCAUGCAUUUGAAUUUGAGAAUAAAAUCCUGUGGUCCUUGGAAGGUUAUGAAAAUUGCAUUAUCUUCAAUUCUUCAUGAUAGUUUUGGAAAGCAUGCUGUGAAGAUGUAAUUGUUCUACCUUCCCCACUUAAAUUAUAUUGCUAGUAAAUUGUCUUGCCAGCUCAGUAUCACCUAGAAAGCACAUAAGAAGCAUACAGUGCUCCUUUUUUCUACCGUUAUUUGAGGGUGUUUAUAUACAUGCUGUGACUUAGUAUAGGGCUAUCAUUACGAUUUUAAGAAGGAAAAUGCCAAAGCUACUCUACUAACUUUACUACAAAAAGCUUACAAAUUGAACUGGUAAUGAAUUGGUGCCACAUUAACUAUAUAUUAGAUAAAUUUCUUAAUUACCUUUUGCUUUGUGAUUUAAAAGUUGACGUAUCAAUUUGUAAGAUUUAUGCAGUAAAAACUAUAAUAAUUGUAGCGUCACUCUUUUAAGAAUAUAUGUGACUUUGGAUGCUGCAUAUGCUGUAAUGCUUAUCCUGUGAAAGGCAGCCCACAGACUAAUUAUACUCCAGAUGAGUUAAAUGAAAGGUUUGGAAAAAAAAAAUAUAGAUGCUUAGCUAAAAAGUAGAUGAUUGUGGGUUGAAUUUUUCUGAAGUUGAUUCCUGCUGUCAUAUUCUGAUCUCUAAAUAGGGAUUUGUUCUGGUUUAUAAAAAGAAAACAUUUUGAUCCUGGUUUGAGCUUCGAUCCUUCAGAAAACUUGAGUAUUACUAUGGCUAUCUCAUAGGAUAUGAGGAUAUCCAGCAAUGAUUCCUCACUUCAGACAGUACACAACUACGACCAUAGUAAGGUAUCAUUCAGAUUUAUGGAAUGCAGGUUUUCUGAAUCAUCUUCAAUCAACCUUCAACAUCCGUCUACAAUAAAUAGUAUACUUUCUGGUGCUCUUUAAUGUUGUAUCACUUUUUGAUACUGUUGUUUUAUUGUGUCUCACACAAGGGAGGCAAUGUCACUUGAGCAUCAAUAAUGCCCACUUGCCCAGUAAUGUUCCAGUUUCUCCAAGAAUAUUUUAAGGUUUCUCAGUAAAAUGUCCCUACUAAUAUUCACAUGGUACCAUGAUUUUGAUGAGAAUAAGGAUUAGGUUCAUGAUUAAUCAAAAUUUUAGACAAAUUAAAUAAAAAAUUAUACUGCCAUUUAGAACUUUUUCUUUAUCUCAAAGUCUGGUUGUUAACCUUUUAUUUGUGUUAACUUUGUUUGUAUAUUUAAAAUUAAAUAAUAAUUGUUUUGCUUGAAA